UAGGGUUUUUUCUAACACUUGAGGAAGGGUGCUCUGGUCUAUCCUUAGUUCUGAAUGGAAAAUUUUGUUUUGUUAACUGGCUGAACUGAAUAUUGUUGGAUCUGCUGAGCUAUCAAUGUGACAGAUGAUUAAGCAUAACCGCUUGAUGGAAUUUGGAGGGAUGGGGGACACAUGGCUUAUGCUAAUUGGUAUUCUUGAGAUUGGUUGAAUCGAUAAUUUCUUUUAUGGUUCAUAUUCUGGAUUGGGUUCAUUGCAACUGCUUCCACCUGUCACUAUCAUUAGUCAUCUUGGUCAACAGUUAAGAUUCCCCUGAUCUUCUCGAAUAACCGCUCCUACUCUGGCUAUGUUCCUAUUUCUGAGGAGAACCUCUUCAAAGUUUACUUUAUACUAGCUACUUGGUGGUGGUUCUUUCCACUUGAUGAUCCUUCUAGUACCUGCUGCUUCCUUGUUUUCUAAGUUUUGCAGAUGAUUAUGAGGCUGGUAUGGUUGCUGCAGAUGGAGCCACCGAUUGUGGAGCACUUGCUAUUACUUUACACUGCUUGCUUGCCUAACAUGGUGGUCAUGGCUCCAUUUGAUGAAGCUGAACUGAUGCACAUGGUUGCCACAGCGUCAGUCGUAGAUGACAGACAGACCCAGCUGCUUCAGGUGUCCAAGGGCAAUGGUAUUGGAGCAGCUCUUCCUUUUAAUAACAAGGGAACACCUCCUGAGAUCUCAACAAGCAAUUAGCCAAUGAGCAUGAAAUCCUAAUUACAAUGGAAGAGGGUUCAAUUGGAGGUUAUGGAUCUCAUUUAUUGCACUACCUAAGCUUAACUGGUAUUUUGGAUGGACCCCUUGAGUUGAGAGCAAUGGUGCUUCCUCACAAGAUCAUAUUUGAGGAAGCUCGGCUCUCCGCAAGACAUAUUUCAGCAACAAUCUUAUCUCUCUUAGGAAGGCCAAAAGAAGCUCUUCAGUUCAAGUGAGCACACGCAUGGAAUGAAGUUCCUGUGAAGGAAUUGUUUUAGGUUUCUAGGAGCUUGUGAAAUUCCAACUCAGAAUGCUCGUUAAGGGGUACUUAUAUUUAGUGGUUAAUAAUCUUCAAAUGCCCAUAAUCUUAAAGCAUAUGUUCACAAGUUUCAAGUUCAAAGAUGAAUCAAUGAGGGCAUGAUGCAUAUUAACUAAAAUUGUUGUAAUGAAGAUCGCAUUAAACAUGAAAUUAUACAACGGACCAAGCAAAGAAAUAUUAGUCUUUUACUUGACAAUU